GUGGGGAAUAUUGGACAAUGGGCGCAAGCCUGACGCAGCCAUGCCGCGUGAAUGAUGAAGGUCUUAGGAUUGUAAAAUUCUUUCACCGGGGACGAUAAUGACGGUACCCGGAGAAGAAGCCCCGGCUAACUUCGUGCCAGCAGCCGCGGUAAUACGAAGGGGGCUAGCGUUGCUCGGAAUUACUGGGCGUAAAGGGAGCGUAGGCGGAUAGUUUAGUCAGAGGUGAAAGCCCAGGGCUCAACCUUGGAAUUGCCUUUGAUACUGGCUAUCUUGAGUAUGGAAGAGGUAUGUGGAACUCCGAGUGUAGAGGUGAAAUUCGUAGAUAUUCGGAAGAACACCAGUGGCGAAGGCGACAUACUGGUCCAUUACUGACGCUGAGGCUCGAAAGCGUGGGGAGCAAACAGGAUUAGAAACCCGGGUAGUCC
rnacentral:rRNA from 1 species